AUUGAACGCUGGCGGCAUGCUUUACACAUGCAAGUCGAACGGUAACAGGCCUUCGGGUGCUGACGAGUGGCGAACGGGUGAGUAAUGCAUCGGAACGUACCCAGAGGUGGGGGAUAACGCAGCGAAAGCUGUGCUAAUACUGCAUGUGAUCUGAGGAUGAAAGCGGGGGACCGAGCAGCAAUGUUUGGCCUCGCGCCUUUGGAGCGGCCGAUGUCGGAUUAGCUAGUUGGUGGGGUAAAGGCCUACCAAGGCGACGAUCCGUAGCUGGUCUGAGAGGACGACCAGCCACACUGGGACUGAGACACGGCCCAGACUCCUACGGGAGGCAGCAGUGGGGAAUUUUGGACAAUGGGCGCAAGCCUGAUCCAGCAAUGCCGCGUGCGGGAAGAAGGCCUUCGGGUUGUAAACCGCUUUUGGCAGGAACGAAACGGUGUCCGCUAAUACCGGGCGCUAAUGACGGUACCUGCAGAAUAAGCACCGGCUAACUACG
rnacentral:rRNA from 1 species